AAACCCCCCGAGUUUGAUAGAUCGGUAAUGUAGGUUUGUUGCUUUCCAUCAUGGAGAAUCUAAGUAUUUCAGUCUCAAUAAUAUCACAAAAUUGGAUCAUUGGUUAUUGAUUCUUGCAGAACGACUUAGGCACGAUGGAAGGUAGAAUGUGUUUUCUGUUUUGAAUCACGAGAAACAUGAAACAAGUCCGGAUCGGGAAUGGGUGAAGUGUGUAUGGUGGGGAGAGUAAAAAAAAAGAGAAAGUGAUACUUAAAUUCGAAUUUGAGGGAACCCUACGGGGAAGCCACCAGGGGGGAUUUUUCCCAAAUGGGGCAAAUCUUGAUUAAGCAACCCCGGGGAAUUAAAAAAGGUCUUCGGAUUGUAAAGCUCUGUCCUUGGGGAAGAACGUUAGGGUUAGGAAAUGAUCCCCACCUGACGGUACCUUUGGAGGAAGCACUGGCUAACUACGUGCCAGCAGCCGCGGUAAUACGUAGAGUGCAAGCGUUGUCCGGAAUCAUUGGGCGUAAAGGGUACGCAGGCGGAUGUUCAAGUCAAGCGUGAAAGGUGUCGGCUUAACCGACAGACUGCGUUUGAAACUGGUUAUCUUGAGUGCAGCAGAGGAGAGCGGAAUUCCUGGUGUAGUGGUGAAAUACGUAGAUAUUAGGAAGAACACCAGUGGCGAAGGCGACUCUCUGGGUUAACUCUGACGCUCAGGUACGAAAGCUGGGGGAGCGAACGGGAUUAGAUACCCCGGUAGUCCCAGCCGUAACGAUGGACACUAGGUGUUGGAGGUUCGAAUCCUUCAGUGCCGAGUUAACGCAUAAGUUCCCGCCUGGAUNGGCGUCAAA
rnacentral:rRNA from 1 species